rnacentral:lncRNA from 1 species
GGGGAUGCAGCCCAGUAAGUCUCAGCCUCAUUUUACCUGGCCCCUACUCAAGAUGGGGUUGCUCUGGUUCAAACGCCUCUGACAGGGUGACAACUGUGACCACAACAGAUUCACAAACAUGACAUUUUCAGAGAGAGGAAGGUGGUUGUGCUCACCCCGCAUCAAGGUUGCUAAGCUGCUGUGAUGGAAUCCUGGAGCUGCUGAAGGACACCUCAUCUCUUUGUGGGAAGCAUCUGCUUGAGGAUUAAGGGAAUGCAGAAAAAAAGUGGAGUAGAGAGAUGGAGGAAGAUGACUUUCGAGGACAUUGUGUGAGCACCUGGAUCUAACUGUGCCUGAAGCAAAACUCAAACCCUGGACUCUCAAUGUAUUGGCUCUCAGUUCCAAGACCCAAUAAAUUCCUUCUUAGCUUAGAAUGCUUUGCUCAGAUGUCUGUUACUUCCAGCCAAAUGUGUUUUAAUACAGAAAGCUCUUGGGGGCUCAAAUAACAGAAAGGGAAGCUAUAUGAGAAGCUGAG